CCUACGGGGGGCUGCAGUGGGGAAUAUUGGACAAUGGGGGGAACCCUGAUCCAGCCAUGCCGCGUGUGUGAAGAAGGCCCUCGGGUUGUAAAGCACUUUCAGUGAGGAAGAACGCCUGUGGUUAAUACCCAUCAGGAAAGACAUCACUCACAGAAGAAGCACCGGCUAACUCCGUGCCAGCAGCCGCGGUAAUACGGAGGGUGCGAGCGUUAAUCGGAAUUACUGGGCGUAAAGCGCGCGUAGGUGGCUUGAUAAGCCGGUUGUGAAAGCCCCGGGCUCAACCUGGGAACGGCAUCCGGAACUGUCAAGCUAGAGUGCAGGAGAGGAAGGUAGAAUUCCCGGUGUAGCGGUGAAAUGCGUAGAGAUCGGGAGGAAUACCAGUGGCGAAGGCGGCCUUCUGGACUGACACUGACACUGAGGUGCGAAAGCGUGGGUAGCAAACAGGAUUAGAUACCCUGGUAGUC
rnacentral:rRNA from 1 species